rnacentral:lncRNA from 1 species
GCAGAACCUUGCAGUGGCAGCCUGGUCAGCCAUUCCUUGCUCUGAUAUGUAACCCUUCGGAGGCGAGAAGGUUUCCUGGAAGGUAUUAGUUUUCUGGGCUCUUGUUUGUGCCUGUUGAAAAGGCUCUCACUAAUUAUGGAAUGAGUCAUGCAAUCCUAUUGAAUUACAGUAUAUGCACCUGUAAGAUGUUCUGCCAAAUAAAACAGAUUCUCUCAAGGAUUUCUGAAUGUAUCAAUAUCAAAGCCUGCUUUGUUUGUGAUAGAGCAAAAAGUUUUACUUUGUGUGCAUUAUUUUAAGUGCACUCACAGGUUGCUGCCUUAUCAACCACACCCUGGUGUGAUGAAUGUAAGUGCCAGUCUCAGCACCUGGGCCUCCUUUGCAAUCUGAUGUCGAUAUGGGCAACGAGGCUCAACUGUUCUGGGUGUCCAGAAAGAAAGAGGAAAGGCUCUUUCUUCCCUGCACAUGGCCAGAAAAGCCCUGGGAGUACAAUGCUGUGGGUUGGGGGAAGGCAGUAGAAUUGGAAAGAGAAGCAAGUCAUUUUUCUCCAGAGCUACUGAAGCUUGCCAUUGAGUUCCUGCAAGGCAGAGUGAAGUAAGAUGUCAGCUUGAAUGACCUAAGAAGUACAACAGAUGGAGGAUUUAUUGUGCAUUUACUGAGAAGAAAGAAACAAUACAGCACUGAAUUAUCAGGUGAGAGAGAAAAAAGGCAACAUUUGUUUCUCUUCCUUACAAGGAAUGAUUCAAUGUAGUGGUAUAUUUUGUGAGUGUAAUUACCUUCGUCCCAAGCUCCAUCUUGGAUUACAAAGAGAAAAAAAGCACAUGUUCAGGCACAGAUGAGGCAGAACCUGGUCCCAUAGGAAUACUGAGGGACCAAGUAAAUAAAGUUUAUUCCUUCUCUUCA